AUACGGAGGGUGCAAGCGUUAUUCGGAAUCACUGGGCGUAAAGGACGCGUAGGCGGGUUGGCAAGUCAGAUGUGAAAUCCUACAGCUUAACUGUAGAACUGCAUUUGAAACUGCUAACCUAGAGUAUGGGAGGGGGAGAUGGGAUUAGUGGUGUAGGGGUAAAAUCCGUAGAUAUCACUAGGAAUACCGAAAGCGAAGGCGAUCUCCUGGAACAUAACUGACGCUGAGGCGCGAAAGCGUGGGGAGCAAACAGGAUUAGAAACCCUAGUAGUCC
rnacentral:rRNA from 1 species